GAAAGAACAGUUCUUCUGGACACGUGUUGGAUGGGCAUUGGAUAGGUUUUUUUGGGAGCAAAACAAAAGUUCAACUCGACAUCAGAUUUGGGUUGUAUCUUCCCCGAAGAUUUGUCGGAGGUAGCCUCGACUAAGGCUUUGAUGAUGGCGGGAUCGGCGCCGUAGAGUCUUACCUUCUAGAUUGAAGUGGAUUGGAGGAGCUUGGCGGUUUCAAAAGGCGGAGGGAGGUUGUCGGCGACUUGACCGUAGUUAACUCCGAUGAAGGGCUCUGCAUCUGUACAGAAACAGAGUGUGACAGGUUUGUAGUUGAUAAUAUGAAAGAGUUUGCAUCUGAUCUUGAAAGGAAUUAAGACGAGCUGUGCAAGAAUGAGAAGCACCGCACUCAGCUGAAAGAAGAGACUUUGUCUCAUCGAGAAGGAUGGCAGAGAACCAGGAGGAAGCAAAAGUGGUCAAAGUCUCGGCGAUUCAAGUUCAAAAUAAAUCCAGAGGAACAGCUUGGAAGUUGUUUGACGUUCUCAGGACAUAGCCUUAAAGAUGAAUGCACAGAGAAUGAAGCUUGGUUCAAAUAUAUAAAAAACAACUUUGGGAAGAGGAGUUCCUUUCCAGAUUCUGUUGGAAGACUUUCAUGGAAAGAAAUUACAUGGUUGUGGGGUUCUAAUGGUGUUGGAACAAGUCACAGACAGAGAUACUCUUGUUCUGCAACACACUCCAUUCAAAGGAUUCAAGUUUCAACAUGUUAAGAAUGUGGAUUGGCUGAUUACUGUUUGUGUGUUAAGCUGGUUGCGUACAACUUCAAAGAAGGGAAAAACUGAGAUAAUACAAAGAGAUUCUAUGGAGAGGAAAUCUGAGAAACUGCAGAGAGCUUCAAAACAUAGGAUGUACCUCUGCCAUCAGGAGACAUCCUCACUCCCAAUAGUCUUCAAAGUCUUGGUGUUUCUGGUUUAGGAUCAAGUACUGGUUUUGAGCGCCUAGGAUCAAGUACUGGUUUUGAGCGCCUGCAUUACAUGUUGGAGAGAGUAUGGGAGCCUAUUUUAGUUCCUGGAUCACCAACGCGUAUUAGUCACUUCUUCUUAAACGUUGUAAGAGAAUUGUUAGUCUCAGUGUAUUAUCUGUUCUAAAAAUGGAAUCAAUAGUCUGAUAUGCUUGGAUCUGUUUUGCAGUUUGAGACUUGAUGUUUUUUUGAUACAAACCCACUUUUGACAUU